rnacentral:rRNA from 1 species
UAGGGAAUCUUCCGCAAUGGGCGAAAGCCUGACGGAGCAACGCCGCGUGAGUGAUGAAGGUCUUCGGGUCGUAAAAUUCUGUUAGUAGGGAAGAACAAAUGUGUAAGUAACUAUGAACGUCCUGACGGUACCUAACCAGAAAGCCACGGCUAACUACGUGCGAGCAGCCGCGGUAAUACGUAGGGGGCAAGCGUUAUCCGGAAUUAUUGGGCGUAAAGCGCGCGUAGGCGGUGUUUUAAGUCUGAUGUGAAAGCCCACGGCUCAACCGUGGAGGGUCAUUGGAAACUGGAAAACUUGAGUGCAGAAGAGGAAAGUGGAAUUCCGUGUGUAGCAGUGAAAUGCGCAGAGAUAUGGAGGAACACCAGUGGCGAAGGCGACUUUCUGGUCUGUAACUGACGCUGAUGUGCGAAAGCGUGGGGAUCAAACAGG